CUCCAAACGGCGCCGCCACCCUCUCUUCUUCUUCCACCAAAACCCCACCGAAGACAGCGCCGCUGUAUACACCUCGCCGUCGACACCAUGGUCGCCGUCGACCUCGCCUGAGCGCGGGAACGGGUUUGCCGUGACCUCCUCUUCCUCGACGUCUGCUUCACGGAGCCGGAGACGCCCGCAGCUGCUCGCCCUCGUCCACAUCUGCAUCAACGUCUACCCCGGCCUUCCUUCUUCCACAACGCCGAUAGCUCCACUGCCUCCCAUCCCUCAUCAUCGAGCACCACCAGGCAUUUGCUUCGUCCCGGAUAGGACCACGAAGUGAUGAUGUGAGAUACGACGAGUUCUCCGGCAAGUUCUCCUGCAGCUUUCCACAGGCGAGCCCUCUCUCUUCACCUAUUAUAUACUCUCCCUCGCAUUGCUAUGCUUAUGUUGCGCUUCUUUAUCGAGUCACGUGCCCUAUUCCACUUGUUACCAUAAUAAUCCUAUAUGUAUCAUUCCUUACCCAUAGCCGUUGCUUGAUGUUUGAGCCUUGCGAGUCGUAGGCGUGUUUAGGCUCUGAUGUUUAUCUCGAUCUGUUAUCGGGAUAUGUUGGGUUGUUGGGAGGUUAUCACAUGCUAUAUCAGUUGUUGGAGAUACACAUGUUUUACUUACUUGUUAACAACUAAAAUUGUAAGCAGAGGCAUCUGUGAGCCCCUUUGCGAAAGCAUCGGAACUUUGACUCGCUAAUGUCCCCUAGGAUCCGAGUUCUUGUUAUCUGUUCCGAGACUGAGCGCUCUACCCAUGCGUGGGGACGAUUAUCGGGACCCCCUCACCCAUUACCUUUUCUCAAGUCAGUUGAAAAGGGGGCCACAACCUUGGUUUUAUUUGGCGCAUGCAUGUUUAUAUACUGUUGCCUUCGGGUGUUUACUUCCUGUUGCCUUUGGGUGGUUUAUUUCUAUACUGCACUGCAUAAUUGCUAGACGACUUAUCUAGUGCUUGGCCGUUAGUGCCCGCCUAGACGCCUACGCAACCUCUGGGUCCGUCUCGGAGUACGGUCGAACUUCGUCACGGGUAGCUUAGUUGGGUGCCCCCCCUAGACUUUCUUGUUGAACUGGGAACGGUCUUGUUGUGAGACAUCCACCUGUCGUAAGUGGGUCGAGCAUGCGUAUGGUUACAUUUGGGCAACCCCUGCAGGAUGUACAUCUUAUCGAUAAGCCGUGUCCGCGGUUAUGGACGACUUGGAAUUGUAUAGCUUGAUCAUAGAACAACUUACACCUUUAUGUUGUUGAUAAUAAUUUGCUAAUAACUUGAUUAGUAAUAUAGCAUUACUACAACCGAUACCUAAUAAAACUUGUCCACCGUUGAGUGCCUUUUACAUUGCCUCUUCGCUUUGUUGAAGGGGAUAUGUGUAUUUGGCUGGGUUAUGCUUGUGUAAUAUUUAUCUGUUACCUUGUGCGCUCUCUUAUCUUCUCUAAGUAGACGGAUGUUGUAGUGUGUCUCUAUUGGUUAUAGUUUUGCUGCCGCUAAACCUACCAUAUAGCCCCAGGCGAUAUAUAUAUUCGCCCGGCGAGCAUAGCCAUUUCUAGUCUCGCUAAGUACGUACCGGAGUUCGUUCCUUGGUACUUACUCUCGCCUUUCCUCUUUCUCUUUUGCUUCCUCCCUUUUGUCGGCAACCGAUGGCCCGACUUUGAUAGGUACGAGAUGACGACGUUAGCAAGGUUACCCUUCCAGCUUGGCCUGGGCAGGGUUAUGGACGCCACUGGUUAUCUUCAGGACUCUUAGUCCAAUUUGUAUCUUGUCCGUACUCGGACGUAUUCGAUCUUCUGUAUGAUUUGGAUCUUUGUAUUGUAUAUUUGUAUCUUGACUCGUUGGAGUCGUUGUUGUAAUAUAUGUACCUUGUGGGCUCUAUUGUAAUCCUGUUGUAAUGUUA